AUUUUGAUCAGUCUUUUGAGUCUCUUUUUCCAUUCUGUUGUUGGUUUUCUGUUGUCACAAAUCAUAAAGUUUGAAUCUUGAUUGGUUUUUCUUGAAGUUAUGAGGUGGGGUCUUGUUAAAAAUUCAUGAAAAGUAGUGUUUCUUUUGCAUCUUCAUCAAUCUGAAAACACUUAAAGAUUGAACCUUUUGAGUCUGUUGCCAUUGGUGUUGUUCAUUUUCUAGUGUCACAAAGCCAAAAAGAUUGAACCUUUUGAGUCUAUUUUCAUUGGUGUUGUUCAUUUUCUAGUGUCACAAAGCCAAAAAGAUUGAAUCUUGAUGAGUUUUUCUUGUAGUUUUCUUGAAGUUAUGAAGUGGGGUCUUGUUAAAAUUUCAUGAAAGUUGUGUUCUUUCACAUUUUCUAGUGUCACAAAGCCAAAAAGAUUGAACCUUUUGAGUCUAUUUUCAUUGGUGUUGUUCAUUUUCUAGUGUCACAAAGCCAAAAAGAUUGAACCUUUUGAGUCUAUUUUCAUUGGUGUUGUUCAUUUUCUAGUGUCACAAAGCCAAAAAGAUUGAAUCCUUUGAGUCUGUUGCCAUUGGUGUUGUUCAUUUUGGCCAAAGAGAUUGAAUCUUGGGUGAGUUUUUCUUGAAGAUAUGAAUUGGGUACUUGUUAAAAUUCA
rnacentral:lncRNA from 1 species